AGAGUUUGAUCCUGGCUCAGGACGAACGCUGGCGGCGUGCUUAACACAUGCAAGUCGAGCGAGGAUGGAGUUUAACACUGAGUAGUAAACGUUGGUUAAAAGAUGCCAGCGUUUAUGCACAAACAACUUAAGUUUGCCGGGGAGAUACCACAAAGAGUAUGACCCGAAAGACAAGGGGUGUGUCCCCAGACAUAUAGUUUGUGCAUCACGCAUUUAUGUGCAAGCCAUGCAAAAGAUAGGUGCGUGAAUGCUGAGUGUUGAACUUCAUCCUAGCGGCGGACGGGUGAGUAACGCGUGAGCAACCUACCUUGUACAGGGGGAUAACAUUCGGAAACGGGUGCUAAUACCGCAUAAGACCCCACUAUCGCAUGAUAGAGCGGUCAAAGAUUUAUCGGUACAAGAUGGGCUCGCGUCCCAUUAGCUAGUUGGUUGGGUAAAGGCCUACCAAGGCAACGAUGGGUAGCCGACCUGAGAGGGUGAUCGGCCACACUGGGACUGAGACACGGCCCAGACUCCUACGGGAGGCAGCAGUGGGGAAUAUUGCGCAAUGGGGGGAACCCUGACGCAGCAACGCCGCGUGAGUGACGAAGGUUUUCGGAUCGUAAAGCUCUGUCAUUGGGGACGAAUAAAUGACGGUACCCGAGAAGGAAGCCCCGGCUAACUACGUGCCAGCAGCCGCGGUAAUACGUAGGGGGCGAGCGUUGUCCGGAAUUACUGGGCGUAAAGGGUGCGUAGGCGGCUAUGCAAGUCAGAUGUGAAAUACCGUGGCUUAACUGCGGGGGUGCAUUUGAAACUGUAUAGCUUGAGUGCAGGAGAGGAAAGUGGAAUUCCUAGUGUAGCGGUGAAAUGCGUAGAGAUUAGGAGGAACACCAGUGGCGAAGGCGGCUUUCUGGACUGUAACUGACGCUGAUGCACGAAAGCGUGGGUAGCGAACAGGAUUAGAUACCCUGGUAGUCCACGCCGUAAACGAUGGAUACUAGGUGUAGGGGGUAUCGACCCCCUCUGUGCCGUAGUUAACGCAAUAAGUAUCCCGCCUGGGGAGUACGUGCGCAAGCAUGAAACUCAAAGGAAUUGACGGGGACCCGCACAAGCAGCGGAGCAUGUGGUUUAAUUCGAAGCAACGCGAAGAACCUUACCAGGUCUUGACAUCCCGAUGACGGGUAUAGAGAUAUACCGUCCCUUCGGGGCAUUGGAGACAGGUGGUGCAUGGUUGUCGUCAGCUCGUGUCGUGAGAUGUUGGGUUAAGUCCCGCAACGAGCGCAACCCCUAUUUUUAGUUACCAGCAAGUUAAGUUGGGUACUCUAGAGAGACUGCCGGGGAUAACUCGGAGGAAGGUGGGGACGACGUCAAAUCAUCAUGCCCCUUAUGGCCUGGGCUACACACGUGCUACAAUGGCCGGAAACAGAGGGUAGCGAAUCCGCGAGGUGGAGCGAAUCUCAGAAAGCCGGUCCCAGUUCGGAUUGCGGGCUGCAACUCGCCCGCAUGAAGUCGGAGUUGCUAGUAAUCGCGAAUCAGCACGUCGCGGUGAAUGCGUUCCCGGGUCUUGUACACACCGCCCGUCACACCACGGAAGUUGGGGGCACCCGAAGCCGGUGACCAAACCUAUUAAGGAUGGAGCCGUCGAAGGUGAAUUCAAUGACUGGGGUGAAGUCGUAACAAGGUA
rnacentral:rRNA from 1 species